GCCGGGUUAGCUCAGUGGUAGAGCAGUUGAUUUGUAAUCAUCAGGUCGUCGGUUCAAGUCCGACACUCGGCUCCA
rnacentral:tRNA from 1 species